AAAUUGUUGCUUUUAAAUUUAUAUACUAAAAUUGCAAUGAUACAAAUAGAAAAGUUUAGCAUGGCUCCUGUGCAAGGGUGACAUUCAAAUUUGUGAAGCAUUCCCUAUUUUU
rnacentral:snRNA from 1 species